UUUGUCUAAAAUCUCCUUCCACCACGUGGCUGUGCUGGAGUCUCUCUGAAUCUGCUGUGAUUCUGGGAGCUGCCUUAUUCGCGAAUCGUUCUUUGCUCAAUUAUACUCCUUUAAAUUUAAUUUGGUUGAAGUUUUUCUUUUAUCAUAGGUAAAAAAAAAAAACUCUCACAAAUCCACUAAUGACAUAGAUUUUAUGCUAUAAGCUGUUUUGAAAAUGUGGAUAUGAGUUUUUGAUUGCUUGGUUUGCUAUUUAAAAAGUUGAAAUGUCUUGCCAUAUGCAACGCUUUGAUUUAGAAUCUUGCACCGAUGAGAAAAAGAAUUUGACUGACCCAACUCGACCUCAUCAUCCAGGAAUCUCCUGGUUGCAUCUUGGUCACAGGUCACCUGUGGAAUGAUAAAUUCUAUAUGAAGAUCUGAUUAGAGAUUUGCUGAUGUGAAGGACAUACCAAGAAAAUUCACUCCUUGUCCCUUCCUUAGAAAAAUCCUCAUCCUUCCUAGAAAAAUGCCUGAGCAUCUCAGUCAGGCCUGCAUUCGCAUUGUGGUCCCUUCUUCUUGGCCGUAGGCAUUGCUUCAGGGAUGGAUUGGUGACCAAAAUGAAUACAGGGGGAAUUCUAGACCUUUUCUGUAAAGUUUGAAAACAAAAUAUUCUCUUUUCUCUCCACAGGCAGCUCGAGGGAUAUCUCUAGGAGACUCAACAGCCACCUGCUCACCACAGUGGGAGGGAGUCAGGGUAAGAAUGAUCAGCCCAGAGGCAGGGGAGCUGAUGGUGGUCUCAGUUCUGGAGUUCUGGAUCCAGGACCACUCCUGUCUAUGAGAUGGCUCUUGUGCCUCCUCGAAGACCAACAUGGUAGCUUGGACGUUGAGUCAAAUCAGACCCUUCACAGUUCUUGAAAGUUGUUGGGAAAGAGAAGAUGAAAUGCAGACAGAGACGUGACUCUGGAAGAGAAAAGAUGUUCUUGGCGCAGUAAUGAUCUGCCAAUAGCCCUCUUUUCUUAGAGCCCAUGCCUUCCCAACUUCUUCAUCUGAUCUGCUGCUCAUCCAAGGAGUACUCUUCUAAUUUUUAAGUGACUCAAUGUCAAGUCGUGGUUGCUAGGAGCCUCCUCAGACGGUGAGUCCCAGGUUCCCUCACUUGACUUCUGCUUUAUUGCUAAGAUCAAUCACCUCCCUCAGACGUAUUUUGCAAAUAAUUAAGCCCAACCGUUUUUUCCUGGUGGCAAUAACUCUCCAGCCAAUUUUUGCUUUAAUCCCUCUAAUUCUAGGAUUCUCUCUUGUUCUUACCAGCAUCGUCACCUAACAGCAGCAGAAGACUGGGUUGUGGUCCUAAACUGCAGCCCUGAUCACUGCUUGGCAUAGAUGUUCUGGGAGGCCCAGUAUCUGCCCAGCUACCUUGCCAGACAUUUCUAGCUCUAGGAGUGAGUAUUUCUGUACUCUGCUUUCCUUCCUAUCAGUCCACCCCGGGAACCUUUUAUUAAGUAUUUCUCAUUGUACUUUCAUGCUCAACCUGAAAACAGUUCCUCAUCACCUGUACCUGCCCUUUCCCCACUCUCUGUCCUAACCUACCCAGGACCUUCCCAGUCACCUUCUCUAUGGUAAAAUGGUUACAAACUCUUGGAUGUUAUAUGACACUCAGAACGUUAGUUUUUUUUAUUUCAAGGUGUGUUAAUAUACUGGCAGUAGUGACAGAUGUCACAUUAGAAGAAUGAUGUUCACACUAAAAUUUUUAUACUUGUUUAAAUUUUUAAGAUGUAAUUUUCUAAAGAGCAGCUUUAGAUUUCCAGUCAAACUGAUCAAAAGGCACAAAGAAUUCCCAUCUACUCCCUGCCCCACUCAUGCACAGCCCCACUGAUGCACACCCAUUAUCAACAUUCCUCAGCAGAGGGGUGCAUUUGUUCGAAUCAGUGAACCUCCAUUGACACAUCGUUGUCAGCAAAGUCCAUAGAUCACAUGAGGGCUCACUCUUGGUGUUGUGCAUUCUGUGGGUUUGGACAAUUGUAUAAUGACAUCGAUCCAUCAUUAUAGCAUCAUACAGAAAAGUUUCACUGCCCUAAAUAUCCUCUGUGCUCCGACUAGUCAUCCCUCCCUUUCCCUAAACUCCUUUGCAUCCACUCCUUUUUCUGUUUUGAUAGUUUUUCCUUGUCUGGAACGUCAUGUAGUUGAAAUCGUAAAGUAUGUAGGCUUUCCAAAUUGGCUUCUUUCACUUAGGAAUAUGCAUUUAGGUUUCUUCCAUGUCCAUUCAUGGCUUGAUCACUCAUUCCAGCCUUCAUUCAUUACCUAAUUCCAAAGCCAUUUCCACAUUUGUAGGUGUUUGUUACAGUAGCACCCCACUUCCUGUUUUUCUUUUGAAACAGGAUCUCAGUCUGUCAGUCUCAGACUGGAGUGCAGUGCAGCAUCAUG
rnacentral:lncRNA from 1 species